GGGGGUUUAGCUCAGUGAUAUGAGCACCUGCCUUGCAAGCAGGCAGUCGUGAGUUCCAUCCCCA
rnacentral:tRNA from 1 species